CUCAUAAAGUAUGUCGUAGUCCGGAUUGGAGUCUGCAACUCGACUCCAUGAAGUCGGAAUCGCUAGUAAUCGUAGAUCAGAAUGCUACGGUGAAUACGUUCCCGGGCCUUGUACACACCGCCCGUCACACCAUGGGAGUGGGUUGCAAAAGAAGUAGGUAGCUUAACCUUCGGGAGGGCGCUUACCACUUUGUGAUUCAUGACUGGGGUGAAGUCGUAACAAGGUAACCGUAGGGGAACCUGCGGUUGGAUCACCUCCUUACCUUAAAGAA
rnacentral:rRNA from 3 species